UGGCUCAGAACGAACGCUGGCGGCACGCCUAACACAUGCAAGUCGAACGAGAUCUUCGGAUCUAGUGGCGGACGGGUUAGUAACGCGUGGGAACGUACCCUUCACUACGGAAUAGUCCCGGGAAACUGGGUUUAAUACCGUAUACGCCCUUCGGGGGAAAGAAUUUCGGUGAGGGAUCGGCCCGCGUUAGAUUAGUUAGUUGGUGGGGUAAUGGCCUACCAAGACUACGAUCUAUAGCUGGUUUGAGAGGAUGAUCAGCAACACUGGGACUGAGACACGGCCCAGACUCCUACGGGAGGCAGCAGUGGGGAAUCUUAGACAAUGGGGGCAACCCUGAUCUAGCGAUGCCGCGUGAGUGAUGAAGGCCUUAGGGUCGUAAAGCUCUUUCGCCUGUGAUGAUAAUGACAGUAGCA
rnacentral:rRNA from 2 species